rnacentral:tRNA from 1 species
AGCUUUAUAGUCAAUAAAAUGAUAUUAAAUUGCAAAUUUAAAGUAGAUUAAGAAUCUAAAGCUU